GACGAACGCUGGCGGCGUGCUUAACACAUGCAAGUCGAACGGACAGUCUCUGCUUUAGCGUGCUGCUCGAUUGGCGAACAGUUGCGUAACGCGGGGUUAACCUGCGCUUGACUUUGGGAUAACGUCAGGAAACUGGUGCUAAUGCCAGCUAGUAGCGCCUGCUGCUAAUUAUUGGUUGGAAAUUUUCGGCGGGUUGGGAUGGACGCGCGGCUUAACAGCUUUUUGGUGGGGUAGCUGCUAAGUAAGGCAUUGGCGGAUAGCCGGCCUGAGAGGGUGACCGGCCACAUUGGGACUGAGAAACCGCCAAGACUGCUACGGGGGGAAGCGGUGGGGGAUAGUGCACGCUGGGCGGCAGCAGGAUGCAGCAACGCCGCGUGCGGGAUGACGGCUUUCGGGUUGGAAACCGCUUUCGCCUGUGACGAAGCGUGAGUGACGGUAAUGUGUAAGGAAGCACCGGCUAACUACGUG
rnacentral:rRNA from 1 species